UCUUGAGAGCGGCGGACGGGUGAGUAAUGCCUAGGAAUCUGCCUGGUAGUGGGGGAUAACGUUCGGAAACGGACGCUAAUACCGCAUACGUCCUACGGGAGAAAGCAGGGGACCUUCGGGCCUUGCGCUAUCAGAUGAGCCUAGGUCGGAUUAGCUAGUUGGUGAGGUAAUGGCUCACCAAGGCGACGAUCCGUAACUGGUCUGAGAGGAUGAUCAGUCACACUGGAACUGAGACACGGUCCAGACUCCUACGGGAGGCAGCAGUGGGGAAUAUUGGACAAUGGGCGAAAGCCUGAUCCAGCCAUGCCGCGUGUGUGAAGAAGGUCUUCGGAUUGUAAAGCACUUUAAGUUGGGAGGAAGGGCAGUAAAUUAAUACUUUGCUGUUUUGACGUUACCGACAGAAUAAGCACCGGCUAACUCUGUGCCAGCAGCCGCGGUAAUACAGAGGGUGCAAGCGUUAAUCGGAAUUACUGGGCGUAAAGCGCGCGUAGGUGGUUUGUUAAGUUGGAUGUGAAAUCCCCGGGCUCAACCUGGGAACUGCAUUCAAAACUGACUGACUAGAGUAUGGUAGAGGGUGGUGGAAUUUCCUGUGUAGCGGUGAAAUGCGUAGAUAUAGG
rnacentral:rRNA from 1 species